GACGAACGCUGGCGGCGUGCCUAAUACAUGCAAGUAGAACGCACAGUUUAUACCGUAGCUUGCUACACCAUAAACUGUGAGUUGCGAACGGGUGAGUAACGCGUAGGUAACCUGCCUGGUAGCGGGGGAUAACUAUUGGAAACGAUAGCUAAUACCGCAUAAUAUUGAUUAUUGCAUGAUAAUUGAUUGAAAGAUGCUAUUGCAUCACUACCAGAUGGACCUGCGUUGUAUUAGCUAGUAGGUGAGGUAACGGCUCACCUAGGCGACGAUACAUAGCCGACCUGAGAAGGUGAUCGGCCACACUGGGACUGAGACACGGCCCAGACUCCUAAGGGAGGCAGCAGUAGGGAAUCUUCGGCAAUGGACGCAAGUCUGGACGAGCAACGCCGCGUGAGUGAAGAAGGUUUUCGGAUCGUAAAGAUCUGUUGUAAGAGAAGAACGGGUGUGAGAGUGGAAAGUUCACACUGUGACGGUAUCUUACCAGAAAGGGACGGCUAACUACGUG
rnacentral:rRNA from 1 species